AUGGAUAGCUUGAUAGUUUUGUUUAUCAUACUUUGUAGUUUCAAUGAUGACACAUAUAUGUCAACUAUUGGUGUUGGCUCCAACAACUAUCAUUGGUCUCAAACCAAUGAAGUGCAUGAAGAUGAUCAUGAAUAUGAAGUGAAUGAGGAGGGUGAGGGUAUGGUCGAUGCACCGAAAGGAAGGGCGUGCAACUACACCAUGGACGAAGACAUCUUGCUAUGCAAGACAUGGUUGAAUGUGUCUAUGGAUGCCACCAUCGGGACGGACCAAAGUAGAGAUACAUAUUGGUUUCUAAUGAAAUUCUUUGAUGCACACAACAAUAGUGGAAUUGAGCGCACCGAUAGAUCUCUUCGCUCCCGGUGGUCGAUGAUCAACAAAGAUUGUCAAAAGUGGGCAGCGGCAAUGACGUCGGUUGACAAGAUAAACACAAGUGGCACUAAUGAUAGAGAUAGGCUCAAUAUUGCACAAAACUUAUUUCAAGGAGAAGAGAAGAAGACCAAGAAAGGCAAGGUUAAGAAAGGGAGAGCAUUUGUGUUGCCCCAUUACUACGAAGUGUUGAAGGAUGAAGAGAAAUGGAAGAACCGUGAUGUCCUAGAGGUGCCAAAGAAAUGCAAGGCAACUAUUGAUUUAGAUGAUGAUGAUUAG
rnacentral:rRNA from 1 species